GUGGUUGUGGCUCAGUGGUAGAGCGCUCACUUGGCACAUGUGAGGCACUGGGUUCAAUUCUUAGCACCACA
rnacentral:tRNA from 1 species